rnacentral:rRNA from 1 species
CUGGCUCAGGAUGAACGCUAGCGGCAGGCUUAAUACAUGCAAGGCGAGGGGGCAGCAAUGUCA